AGUUCAGCUUCUCAAAAUGAGGUUCCCUUCUCAGCUCCUGGGGCUGCUGAUGCUCUGGGUCCCAGGAUCCAGCGGGGAUAUCGUGCUGACACAGACCCCACUGUCUCUGUCCAUCACCCCCGGAGAGUCAGCCUCCAUCUCCUGCAGGGCCAGUCAGAGCCUCCUACACAGUAAUGGAAACACCCAUUUGAGUUGGUACCUGCAGAAACCAGGCCAGUCCCCACAGCUCUUGAUCUACAAGAUUUCCAACCGUUUCACUGGGGUCCCAGACAGGUUCAGUGGCAGCGGGUCAGGGACAGAUUUCACCCUGACAGUCAGCAGGGUGGAGGCUGAUGAUGUGGGAGUUUAUUACUGCGGGCAAUAUACACAGUAUCCUCCCAUAGUGGUUCAGGCCUGAACACAAACCUCUCUGUCUGGCGGUCCCCACUGGGCACAUGUGCUGCCUGAGAGGGGAAUUGGGACAACAGAGGCUCUUAGCUGGUGUCAGAGGCUGGUGUUGGGGAACUCAGGGCAGUAACAUGCAGCUGAGUACUCUGGACCGAGUCCUGGGACCUAGGAUGCUACAUGCUCAGUGGGGUAUAACCAGCUCUGGAGCGGAUGUGAUCAGCCUGUGGGCUUUGCGGUGAGCUCCCAGGGAGUGCUGCCCUGAACCUCACCCUGACCCUCCCGGCCUGUGUGCAUGUGUCAGGAACUAUUACUCAGGUUGAGCGUCAGAAACCUGAGCGAUUUAUGUGAAAGCACAACUACAUACAUUUGGAGCUAAACACGUCUGCCAUAUUGUCAGUAAGAGACUAUUCAGUGUUGUUCAGAAUUU